GCGGCGGCGAGCGGUCUGGGGCUAGGCGAGCGGCGGCCGUCGUCCGGCAGCGAUACGAGUGGGCCCGGCGGGAGCUCGGACUCCAGCGCCAUUCUCUCAAGCCCGGUGUGGUGGGACGACGCCUCGCCAGCAACGAGCACCUGACCACAGUCGGGCGCAGUCUGCGACUCAGGGGUUGGAGGCGUCCUCGUCUAGCCGACGAGCUGGUUAUGGUCGGGCGGGCAGCGCGUCGUGGCUGCUGCGUGAAGAGAUGGCUAACCAACAAAGGCAGGAGAUUCCAGCGACAGAUUUGAGGUCGGCGCCUCACGAAGGCAUGCUCCUUGCCGGGAGAGGCAGGGGCAUCCUUUCUUGGUCUGCAGCUUUCACCUCUGUUGCUUCAGAUAGCGGCACAAGUGGAGCAGGAGGCUGCAAUGGAUUUUAUACUAUGAAAAGUAGCUUCCUGAUGAAUCAGAUGUACUUCUGUGUGGUGCUCCAGCUGAUUCGUCGCUUGUCAGCCUGUCAUGGAUAAUCGGUGCAUGGUAGGAAGUACAAUGGCAAAACGAGGACGGAUUGAAGGCAGCGGAUUCCGUGUUGGUCGGAGGGGAAGACAUUGUCUUUAUAUGGAGAGGGCCGUAUAAAUGGCAUGCCCAAUGUUUCACCGACCUCAAGCAGGGAGCCACCAUUACCUUGUGUUCGGAUUGGUUACCAUAAUCAAAUCCUUUUUUGCCCAUUUAAAUUAGUGGCUCGAUUUCGUUGAUAAUUGAGUUUGAUUGGAAGUAUAUACUCCAGUGUCUUCGUUGUUCUGUUUUAUAAUCCAAUUGCCAGGAUGUUUGCUAUAUUUUUAGUAUGUAGAUCGUAGGGACAUUACUGUAGUACAAAUGUCUUCUAUACAGGUUAUGCAGUCAACACAUUUUCUGUCUUUCGCCCUGUUUGUUUGCUGAAGCUCAUGCUCAUGUUGUAAUUGUGGCAUGUAAUCAGUCCCUGAUCCAUGUGUGUGUUUGUGUGUGUGACCGGAAAGGUUGGGCAUAACUACAUUGUUACGGAGAAGAUGAAGAAUAUUAACUUCGGGAUCAGAGCUGAAGGUCUCUCCAUUAGCAAAAUUACAAUGUGUGUGAUCUGUCUAUGUUUGCAAGUAUACUGAUGUAAUUUCACAUAUUGCCCCGACUUUUGGGGAAUCCUUAUCAACUGAAUGCAUUUUAGCAUUGAGAAUGGAGCCACUCAUGUGUAUUGCCACUAUAACCUCUAUAACCACGCAACAUGCAUCCCUUUGAUGUGAAU